rnacentral:rRNA from 1 species
GUCUAUAACCAUACUACUCUGUACAUGUCUAAUCUUCUCUAAUCUUAUAAGCAAAGCAGGGCCAGGCCUGGUUAGUACUUGGAUAGGAGAAAAUCAAAUUGGUUGUCU